UUUUCCCUGCGGUGUGCGUGAAGGCAUACAAUUCCUUUGAACCAAUAAGUUCGCUUAAGGUUGCCGGGAGCAGUAGUGGGCGCGAUUGUCUGUUUACAGACGAACCCGAAACUACCCGAGGCGACCGCCUUGUCAGCAAGGUUCAAGCGGAUUACGCCCGAGCGGCAUCAGCGGGGAUUCC
rnacentral:other from 1 species